AUGGCCAACUUCGCCGCCCAGCUUAAGGAUAGGUUUUUUGGUCUCGUCGACCGCGUCGCCGGCUACAGCCGUGCCGGGGUCAGGGAGGAGGCCCCCAAGUCGGCGCCGGCGCCGGCCGUGCCGGUGCACGUCGAGAUUCGACCGAGAGGGCCCAAUGUGUCAGGAGGAUCAGAGGCGGGAAUUCACGUGGCUUCCCUUGCUCUGAAAGUUGAAACAGAUGCUUUUCUUGUUGGUGUGCUUGUGUGUGCCUGGGCCAACCAGCAUCGCCGCUGCCACCAGCCACUGGAUCGAUCCAGCGGCCAGGGAACAGUGACCCCGCGCCGCCCCGUCACGCCACCCCUCCCUUCCUUCUUCCCGUUUCUUCCUUCUCUCACAUCUGGCUCCCUCUCUUUUUCCCUCGCAGAAGCCCAGCAUGGGGGAACUUCAAGCACCUCCUCCCGCGAACCUGCAACCCAUCCACGGUGCCGCCUUGACCGCGCCUCUCCUCCUCGAGCUUUCAUCGGCGACCCACACCGGAGACGAGAGCCACCAGCAGGAUCCUCUGCCUCGCCCCGGCCUCUGAUCUAUGCCGCCAAAGGAACCGACCUCCCGGAGGUCGCUGCCGUUGACCCGCCGGACCCCAACCCCGUGCCCGACGCCGCCCGUACCUCGCCGACACCGCAGGCCACGCCCUCCGGCGACCCCGCCUUCGGCGACAGCGACCAGGACCGGCCUCAUCCCGCUCCUCUCCUCCCGCCAUCUCUCUCUGCUCCCUUCCCUUUCCCUUUCCUUGCUGAAGCUCUCCCUCUCCUAUCUCUCAGCUCUCUCUCCCUUUUGUUUUUUUCAUGGACAGGGGAUCAAGCCGCCACCACCAUGGACUUCCUCCGCUGCUUCAUCGCCGCCACAGGACACCGGCGCCCCGACCUCCUCAUUGCACAUGCGCCCUGGACCCUUGCCUCGCGCCCCUCUUCGUCAUUUCGCGUCGCCUCCCCGUGCCUGAGUGCUCGCGCCUCUGCCAUCGAGGGCCGCCUCCGCCUGGAUCCGCCAAGUCCCACGUCGCCAGCAGCCGUUCCCUAUUAG
rnacentral:rRNA from 1 species